UUUCCUGAGCACCUCCUCUGUGCCAAGUCCUGGGCUCCGGUGUCUCCCUGAAUCCUCACGAACAGAAGCCCUGCAAGAUGACACUUACCUUCCCUCUUCCAUAGGUGAGAGAACCGAGACGAGGAGUCUAGUAACUUGCCCGAAGCCCUACAGUUUGCAUGUGCAGAAGUCAAAUGAGAGUCCAGGGCUGGGAAAAGCAGCUGCUAAACCAAGGCCUGCUAAACCUGACCUGGGAAACAUCCAUCCAAGAUGCCUCUGAUCAGCGGGUCAGGCCGCAAAAGCCUCAGGACCCAGAGGACUCCGUGCCAACCUGUGAGGAUGGCAAAGAGGGACUUGAACCUCCAGAGCGGGAGGCAGCUGUCAGGAUGCAGGGCCUGCUCUCUUCCUACGUGACGGCUCGGGCCUCUGCAACUGGACCCUGAUUCCUUCAAAGACCAUCCAAAGGAGAGCAUUCCCAGCACAGCUCCCACUUGCUUGAGCAGAUAAACCCAUAUGUUCUCUCCCUUUCCCACCGCAAACCUGGGGAAGUGACGCAAGCGGCUACAGGCACCCCCGCCUUCCAGGACUGACGCAGAAGAAAGCAACCCGGACCUCACCAAGCUAAGGCCUGGCCUCUGGGAGGAACCCUGUCGUGGAUGCCAGGGGCCCGUGUGUGUGUGGCCACUACCACAAAUCUCACACCCAUGGAAUGUCAGCACCCAGGUCUGGGAAGGCUGCUGCCCACACCAAAGCUGACACACAAGUUCUGACCCGCGGAUGGAAUGAACCACCUCCCACAGUUGGAUACCAGCCAACCAGCAGGCCACUAGGGCUCACUGAUCUUUUUCCCUUCCAAGAGGUAGUACAGAAUUUAGACCAGUGUUUCUGACCCUCACCUGCAUCAUGGAAUCAUCUGGGGAUCUUUGAAAACAUUGACAGCUGGGCUCUACCUCCACCCCCUACCCCUCACCCCACCCCCGGGCAUUCUGAUUUAAUUCGUCUGGAGUGCAGCCUGGAAUAGGGAUUUUUAACACCCCCACCCCCACCCCGGGGACUGUAGUAUGCACCAAAAUUUAAGAACCACUGGUAGAUCUCUCAUAGUAAUUCCUGCCAUCAGGAGACCCCAUCCAGCUGCAAGGAGUCAACACUUAGGUGUCCAUGGAGAUCCAGUGACCCAGAGCUUUAUCUAAAAGGCAGUGUCCACUGUGUGAACAACAUCGGUAAUACAAUCGUUUUUAGAGGGUAGGGCAAAGACCUCAAUUUCUAUUCACCCACCAGUUUCUCAGGUCUUCAGAAAUGAAAGACUUGCCUUGGUCCCCGGUAAGAAGCUAGAGACCAGACAGAGCUUUGUCUCCUGGGGCAGCCCAAGACAGAGAUGGAAUUAGGGAAAUCUGUUAUGAUUUAGCAAACCUAGGCACUGGCCUGUGAGGUGUGUCUCCUGGGGAGUUUACACAGCUCAGAGCAUCUGACAUGGGAUUCGUCUGCUCUGAUUAAGCCCCUGGUGCUGGUGGCAGAUGGUUUCGCAGUUCCCAGCGCAGCCAACAUGCCCAGGGCCCUGCUGAAAAACAGGUUUGUGCUCAUAGUGCCCUAAGCCGUGGUGAAGGGCUGUCUCCCCUCUACCUCUCAAGGUUAGUGGGGUACAGCCAAGUGAAGAGGCUGCCUGCUAGGGGUCAGGGCAGAAUUGUCCCCCCGAGAGAGCGAUUCUCAAACUUUUCCACUAAAAUACCUUUAAUGUGAUUGUUCUGUAAACCCACAACUUUCCUAAUAAACAACAAAAAAAUUAAAAUCUGUUUAAGCACAAACCAAAAAUACCUUUAACAACAAAAUAAAGAGGCCCAUCCUCAUGUGGUCUGGGGCCUAUC